rnacentral:rRNA from 1 species
AACGUAGGGGCGAGCGUUGUCCGGAAUUACUGGGCGUAAAGGGCGCGUAGGCGGUUAUUUAAGUCAGGGGUGAAUACUCUGGGCUCAACUCAGAGCCUGCCUCUGAAACUGGGUAACUUGAGGGCAGGAGAGGGGAGUGGAAUUCCCAGUGUAGCGGUGAAAUGCGUAGAUAUUGGGAGGAACACCAGUGGCGAAGGCGACUCUCUGGUCUGUUAUUGACACUGAGGCUCGAAAGCGUGGGGAGCAAACAGGAUUAGAUACCCUGGUAGUCCCUGA